rnacentral:rRNA from 1 species
CGCUAGCUACAGGCUUAACACAUGCAAGUCGAGGGGAAACGAUAUUGGAAGCUUGCUUCCGAUAGGCGUCGACCGGCGCACGGGUGAGUAACGCGUAUCCAACCUGCCCACCACUUGGGGAUAACCUUGCGAAAGUAAGACUAAUACCCAAUGAUAUCUCUAGAAGACAUCUGAAGGAGAUUAAAGAUUUAUCGGUGAUGGAUGGGGAUGCGUCUGAUUAGCUUGUUGGCGGGGUAACGGCCCACCAAGGCGACGAUCAGUAGGGGUUCUGAGAGGAAGGUCCCCCACAUUGGAACUGAGACACGGUCCAAACUCCUACGGGAGGCAGCAGUGAGGAAUAUUGGUCAAUGGGCGAGAGCCUGAACCAGCCAAGUAGCGUGCAGGAUGACGGCCCUAUGGGUUGUAAACUGCUUUUAUAAGGGAAUAAAGUGAGUCUCGUGAGACUUUUUGCAUGUACCUUAUGAAUAAGGACCGGCUAAUUCCGUGCCAGCAGCCGCGGUAAUACGGAAGGUCCGGGCGUUAUCCGGAUUUAUUGGGUUUAAAGGGAGCGUAGGCCGGAGAUUAAGCGUGUUGUGAAAUGUAGAUGCUCAACAUCUGAACUGCAGCGCGAACUGGUUUCCUUGAGUACGCACAAAGCCGUCAAAGGGCGUGGUGUAGCGGUGAAAUGCUUAGAGAUCCCUAGUUAGAGACGAUUG